CAGUGGCGAACGGGUGAGUAACACGUGGGCAAUCUGCCCUGCACUCUGGGACAAGCCCUGGAAACGGGGUCUAAUACCGGAUAUUACCUUCCCCUGCAUGGGGGUUGGUGGAAAGCUCCGGCGGUGCAGGAUGAGCCCGCGGCCUAUCAGCUUGUUGGUGGGGUAAUGGCCUACCAAGGCGACGACGGGUAGCCGGCCUGAGAGGGCGACCGGCCACACUGGGACUGAGACACGGCCCAGACUCCUACGGGAGGCAGCAGUGGGGAAUAUUGCACAAUGGGCGAAAGCCUGAUGCAGCGACGCCGCGUGAGGGAUGACGGCCUUCGGGUUGUAAACCUCUUUCAGCAGGGAAGAAGCGAAAGUGACGGUACCUGCAGAAGAAGCACCGGCUAACUACGUGCCAGCAGCCGCGGUAAUACGUAGGGUGCGAGCGUUGUCCGGAAUUAUUGGGCGUAAAGAGCUCGUAGGCGGCCUGUUGCGUCGAUUGUGAAAGCCCGGGGCUUAACCCCGGGUCUG
rnacentral:rRNA from 1 species